GCGAACGCUGGCGGCGUGCCUAAUACAUGCAAGUCGAGCGAGCUUGCCUAGAUGAUUUUAGUGCUUGCACUAAAUGAAACUAGAUACAAGCGAGCGGCGGACGGGUGAGUAACACGUGGGUAACCUGCCCAAGAGACUGGGAUAACACCUGGAAACAGAUGCUAAUACCGGAUAACAACACUAGACGCAUGUCUAGAGUUUGAAAGAUGGUUCUGCUAUCACUCUUGGAUGGACCUGCGGUGCAUUAGCUAGUUGGUAAGGUAACGGCUUACCAAGGCAAUGAUGCAUAGCCGAGUUGAGAGACUGAUCGGCCACAUUGGGACUGAGACACGGCCCAA
rnacentral:rRNA from 1 species